ensembl:lncRNA
UAGUGUUGUGUAGUGUGUAGUGUUGUGUUGUGUUGUGUAGUGUUGUGUAGUGUUGUGUAGUGUGUAGUGUUGUGUUGUGUGUAAUAGUGUUGUGUAGUGUUGUGUAGUGUGUAGUGUUGUGUAGUGUGUAAUAGUGUUGUGUAGUGUGUAGUGUUGUGUUGUGUGUAAUAGUGUUGUGUAGUGUUGUGUAGUGUGUAGUGUUGUGUAGUGUGUAAUAGUGUUGUGUAGUGUGUAGUGUUGUGUUGUGUGUAAUAGUGUUGUGUAGUGUUGUGUAGUGUGUAGUGUUGUGUAGUGUGUAAUAGUGUUGUGUAGUUGUGUGUAGUGUGCAGUGUUGUGUUGUGUGUAAUAGUGUUGUGUAGUGUUGUGUAGUGUUGUGUAGUGUGUAGUGUUGUGUAGUGUGU